AGCGAACGCUGGCGGCAGGCCUAACACAUGCAAGUCGAACGAACCUUUCGGGGUUAGUGGCGGACGGGUGAGUAACACGUGGGAACGUGCCUUUAGGUUCGGAAUAACUCAGGGAAACUUGUGCUAAUACCGAAUGUGCCCUUCGGGGGAAAGAUUUAUCGCCUUUAGAGCGGCCCGCGUCUGAUUAGCUAGUUGGUUGAGGUAAUGGCUCACCAAGGCGACGAUCAGUAGCUGGUCUGAGAGGAUGAUCAGCCACAUUGGGACUGAGACACGGCCCAAACUCCUACGGGAGGAAGCAGUGGGGAAUCUUGCGCAAUGGGCGAAAGCCUGACGCAGCCAUGCCGCGUGAAUGAUGCAGGUCUUAGGAUUGUAAAAUUCUUUCACCGGGGACGAUAAUGACGGUAACCGGAGAAGAAGCCCCGGCUAACUUCGUG
rnacentral:rRNA from 1 species